rnacentral:rRNA from 1 species
UAUCUCUGUAGAGUCUGCAUAUCAAUAAGCGGAGGAAAAGAAACUAACUAGGAUUCCCUCAGUAACGGCGAGUGAAGCGGGAAGAGCUCAAAUUUGAAAUCUUCAAGGUUCUACCUUGACGAAUUGUAGUUUAAAGAAGUGUUUUCUGUUGGAGUUUUGGUAAAAGUUCCUUGGAAUAGGACAUCAUAGAGGGUGAGAAUCCCGUAUUUGACCAUUACUUCCAGCGUUGUGAUACACUUUCAAAGAGUCGGAUUGUUUGGGAAUGCAGUCCAAAAUGGGUGGUAAAUUUCAUCUAAAGCUAAAUAUUGGCGAGAGACCGAUAGCGAACAAGUACCGUGAGGGAAAGAUGAAAAGAACUUUGAAAAGAGAGUUAAACAGUACGUGAAAUUGUCAAAAGGGAAGCGUUUGACACCAGUGUUGUUUUCUCGAAAAUCAAUUACGAAAUGGCAUUGAUUUUGUGUUGUAUUGACCUUUAUCAGCUUUCUGCACUUUUUUGAGUCUUUUCUUAAUGCACUUUUCGUUUAACAAGUCAACAUCAAUUUCUUUUGUUGUAAAAGGGUCAUUGGAAGGUGGCUUUCUUUCGGAGAAAGUGUUUAUAGCCUUUGGACCUCUGCAAUCGGAGAGACUGAGGUCUGCAGCGUAGAUCCUUCGGGGUUAGAUACACUUUGUGCUAAGUUAUAGCUUUCAUAGACAACUUGUUGACUAUGAUUCAGUCAUGUUCGCUUACUCGCUUAUGCUAUUUUACCUACGCUUAGGAUGUUGAAGAUGUAGCACAUCAU